CUUGCUGGUGGAUUAGUGGCGAACGGGUGAGUAACACGUGAGUAACCUGCCCUUGACUCUGGGAUAAGCCUGGGAAACUGGGUCUAAUACCGGAUAUGACCUUCCAUCGCAUGGUGGUUGGUGGAAAGCUUUUGUGGUUUUGGAUGGACUCGCGGCCUAUCAGCUUGUUGGUGGGGUAAUGGCCUACCAAGGCGACGACGGGUAGCCGGCCUGAGAGGGUGACCGGCCACACUGGGACUGAGACACGGCCCAGACUCCUACGGGAGGCAGCAGUGGGGAAUAUUGCACAAUGGGCGAAAGCCUGAUGCAGCGACGCCGCGUGAGGGAUGACGGCCUUCGGGUUGUAAACCUCUUUCAGUAGGGAAGAAGCGUAAGUGACGGUACCUGCAGAAGAAGCGCCGGCUAACUACGUGCCAGCAGCCGCGGUAAUACGUAGGGCGCAAGCGUUAUCCGGAAUUAUUGGGCGUAAAGAGCUCGUAGGCGGUUUGUCGCGUCUGCCGUGAAAGUCCGGGGCUCAACUCCGGAUCUGCGGUGGGUACGGGCAGACUAGAGUGAUGUAGGGGAGACUGGAAUUCCUGGUGUAGCGGUGAAAUGCGCAGAUAUCAGGAGGAACACCGAUG
rnacentral:rRNA from 2 species